UUGCAAAGUCAAUCACUAAUUCUGGAUGAUAUUGCAGAGGCGAGGAGAACCAGGUUUGCUAAGAUAAUUGUAGUGACAGAAAUGUAUUAGCCUCAGAAGCUAAUUCUAUCCUAGUACAGUA